AAUCUAAUCACAUUUUCUGCCUCAAGGGACUGAGCAGCUCCCAAUAAGAUUUUCCUGAGUGUGUCUCUGCAGCAGCUGGUGGGAGUGACAUGACUGGUGAGACUGAGACAGCCUGGGGCUCAGAGCAGAUGGUAGUCUGAAAGGGACAGAAUGAGAGAGGGAGCUGGAGAAAGAAAUGAAUAAACACGAAUGCAUCUGGAGAAUGAGGCAUCUUGGAAUCUGGAAGGUGAGGCAUCCUGGAAGAGAGAUGAAGAUGGAGUCUCACUCUGUUGCUCAGGCUGGAGUGCAAUGGUGUGAUCUCGGCUCACUGCAACCUCCCGGGUUCAAGCAAUUCUCCUGCCUCAGCCUCCUGAGUGGCUGGGAUUACAGGUUCAAGCUCCAAGAUGUCCAGAACCAAACGCGAAGAAGAAUUACUGAAAUGGAUAUAUGCAAAACUCGUCAAGAUUCUCAUUUGGCUACAGCAAAUUAUUUGGCGAGUUGAAAGUUUAGUUGUGUUAAUGAUAUGCUACACCUUCUAUACCUGUAAUGUGCCAAAAAUAACUGAACACUUUAGAUUUCUCUUUAAAUCCAGUAAUAAUCCAUUAAAGAGAUAAAGGUGCCAAUGUGCAGGCAAGUAAACCACAUUGCCAAGUAUACAAGCUAAUACAUUUCCCAGGAUGGAUUUAGAGUUUCCUAUUUUAAGCAAAAUUUACAGAAAGUUAAAUGCACAAAUCUUCAGUGCACAAUUACACGAGUUUAGCAACUAUAUACAUCCAUGUAAACAACACUAUCAUGAUGAAGAACAUUUUUAUCACCCAGGAAAUUACUUCAUGUCCCCUUCCAGUCAAUCCACUCUCCACAGGAAACAACUAGGGUUCUGAUUUUUAUCAUUAUGUACUAGAACUUCACAUCUUAGGAAAUCAUAUAGUGCUGUCUCAUUUGUUUCUUGCUAGUUUAGGCAGUAUCAUUUUUUUGAAAUCCAUUCAUAUUGUUCCAUGUUAUCAGUAAUUUGUUACCUUGAUGUAGCUGAGGAGUAUUCCAUUAUAUGAAUAUACCACAACUUAUGUACCCAUUGUACUCUUGACAUUGGCUAUUGUUAGUAAAGCUUUUGGCUAUUUACUAGUAAAGCUGCUAUAAACAUGCUCAAGUCUUGUUGUAGAAACAUUUUCAUUUCUCGUAGGUAAAUAGUUAAGGAUGGAAUUUCUGAGUCACAACAGAGGUAUAUGCUUAACUUUAUGAAAAUCAUCAAGCUGUUUUCCAAACUGGAUGCUCCAUUACCUACUUCUCUGAGUAAGAUCUGGGAGUUCCACUUACUCCACAUCCUCACCAACAUUUGUUGUUGCCACAACGAAGUGGUGCAAUAGUUUAUUUUUAUUUUCAUUUACAUUUCUCUGAUGAUUAAUGAUAUCAAGCACAUUUUCAUGUGCAGUUCACCAUUUUUUUUAAAUGUCCAAAACUUUCAUUCAGUUGUAAAAAAAAACAACAGUAUCUUUUUAUUAAUGGUUUUCUCUUGUUCUGGGUGAAGUUCAUCAUCGAAUAUAUAUUGCUAAUAUUUUUUCCCACAUUACAGCUAAACUUUUAAUUUUCUUUUGAUGAGCAGAGAAUUUUUGUUGUUUUAUUUUUGUGAAAUCCGAUUUAUUGCUUUUUUGCAGCUAGUGUUUUUUCUUUCAUCUCUAUAAAAUCUUGCCUAGCCUAAGAUCGUAAUAUAGUCUUCUGUGUUUUUUUCUUCAUAAAACCUUUACAGCUUUAGCUUUUAUAAUUGAAUCUAUAAUUUAUCUACAUUAAUUUUGUGAAUAUUGUUAAUUGUGGCUAAGAUUCAUUAUUUCCAUGGUUAUCUAGUUAUUCCAGCAUUGUUUGUUCAAAAAGACUUUCCAUUGAAGUGUCUUUGAGCUUUUAUUGAAAUUAACUGACUAUGUGUGUACUGAUUUCUUUCUGAGCUUUACUUUGUCCCAGUGAUCAGCUUGUAUACCCUUAUGCUAAUGCAAUACUAUCUUGAUUAUUGUGGCUUGCUGCAGGUCUUGAUAUAAAGUAAUAUAAUUUAUCUGAAUUUGUUCUUUUUCAAGAUAGCUUUGGAAGUUCUUUAUUUCUUGUAUUUUCAUAUAAAUUUUAGAAUAAACUUGUCUAUUUCCACCAAAACAAUGCAAAUUUCAUUUAGUUUGUAAUUAGGUCUAAUCAAACCAUAUUAAAUCUUCCAGUUCAUU
rnacentral:lncRNA from 1 species